CUACGGGUCGCUCCAGUGGGGAAUAUUGGGCAAUGGGCGCAAGCCUGACCCAGCAACGCCGCGUGAGGGAAGAAGGUUUUCGGAUUGUAAACCUCUGUCCUUGGGGACGAAGAAGUGACGGUACCCAAGGAGGAAGCUCCGGCUAACUGCGUGCCAGCAGCCGCGGUAAUACGUAGGGAGCGAGCGUUGUCCGGAAUUACUGGGCGUAAAGGGUGCGUAGGCGGCAUAUUAAGUCAGGUGUGAAAUACCCGGGCUCAACCCGGGGGGUGCAUUUGAAACUGAUAAGCUUGAGUGUGAGAGAGGAAAGUGGAAUUCCUAGUGUAGCGGUGAAAUGCGUAGAGAUUAGGAGGAACACCAGUGGCGAAGGCGACUUUCUGGCUCAUAACUGACGCUGAGGCACGAAAGCGUGGGGAGCAAACAGGAUUAGAUACCCGGGUAGUC
rnacentral:rRNA from 1 species